UGGGGAAUUUUGGACAAUGGGCGAAAGCCUGAUCCAGCAAUGCCGCGUGUGUGAAGAAGGCCUUCGGGUUGUAAAGCACUUUUGUCCGGAAAGAAAUCCUUGGCUCUAAUACAGUCGGGGGAUGACGGUACCGGAAGAAUAAGCACCGGCUAACUACGUGCCAGCAGCCGCGGUAAUACGUAGGGUGCAAGCGUUAAUCGGAAUUACUGGGCGUAAAGCGUGCGCAGGCGGUUUGCUAAGACCGAUGUGAAAUCCCCGGGCUCAACCUGGGAACUGCAUUGGUGACUGGCAGGCUAGAGUAUGGCAGAGGGGGGUAGAAUUCCACGUGUAGCAGUGAAAUGCGUAGAGAUGUGGAGGAAUACCGAUGGCGAAGGCAGCCCCCUGGGCCAAAUACUGACGCUCAUGCACGAAAGCGUGGGGGAGCAAACAGGAUUAGAUACCCCUGGUAGUCCACGCCCUAAACGAUGUCAACUAGUUGUUGGGGAUCAUUUCCUUAGUAACGUAGCUAACGCGUGAAGUUGACCGCCUGGGGAGUACGGUCGCAAGAUUAAAACUUAAAUGAAUUGACGGGGUCAUAGCUGUUUCCU
rnacentral:rRNA from 1 species